UCCAUUCCUAUUAUUAUUCUAAGGCCUACGGCAAGAUGACUGUGGUUACAAGUGGAGCAAGGAUUGCAUGUCACUCCCUUGAAUGUUGAACUCUCUCCUGUGCUUGGAGUUAACAGUCUGAAAAAGAAAAAUGUACAGAGCCAAAUAUAGCCCAGAAAUUCUCCUACCCAUCACAAGAAUCUGUCUAAGGGAACAUGGACUUAACCUUGACUUUGGGGUCAAUGCUUUCUGCAAAGUGUACAGUCAGCAGAGAGUACGGGAGAAAAUCAAUGUGGAACAUAUUACCGAAUAUGAUGCUCAGACGUUACUGCUUGGAAGUCAUGCCUGGAGAUGGAAGCAACAGAGGUUAUUUUAAAAGGAGAGCAUGUCAAAUGAGCUCUUUCA